UCUUCUGUGGCAGCUUUGGGUUUCCAAGUAGCCAUUUGUAGAAAGUGCAGUUCCCAAUUAGAAACUGUUUCGAAGUGAACUGUGCAAAUUCUGACAGCAGGGAAAAAAAAAAAAAAGCAAGUGAGGCGCUGGGGCCGGGACACGCCAUGUCCCCCAGCGGCCUGGUCCUCCUGCUGCCACCCCAGCAGCAGCAGCGGCGUGGACCCACAUGAGCCAGCAAGCUUCCAUCUGCCUCUAGAGCUGUCCUGUAGCUCCUGCCUUCCCAGAAGGGGCUGUCACCACCCGGCCUUUUUUCCUGGGGCAGGCGGUCGCCUGGGAGGUGCCAUUUUAGAAGUGAAGGGUGUGAUGGCAUCCCCCCGCCAUGUCCUUCAGCCACGCGGCCGCUGCUGCCAAAUAAAAGAAAGUACCUCCUGCAACUAAACAAAAAACUGCACAUCUUCAUCUACAGAAUUCUUCUCACUGACUGCCUCUGGAAGCAAAGUGCCUGUGUCUCUAGGCUUGGCAUAACAAGACCUACUUGUUCCAGUUCAUCUGUGUACAGGCUUGCUGGCUAGUCAAGGAUAUUUAUUUUGUGUACUUUCCAUAACCUAACCCACAAGCUUCAUGGAAGUCUGCUCCCUGCAUUGCAGGUGAGAGAAAAUGAAAACCUCGUAAGGAAUAGAAGCACAAAGGAAUGAGCAUCGAAACAGAGAGGAGUGCAAACCUUAUCUUUACAAGUGCCCCAUGGCAAUCCAGUACUCCAGAAUGGCAAGGAGAAAACAGGGACCUGUCUUGUUCCAAUCUCCUAGCUGUCUUGUAUUCUGAGGCCAGAAUAUUCCUCAAAGAGAUGCAGUUCAAUUUUAGUAUUAGUCCAGUAGGAGCUAUUGCUUAACAUCUACAUUAAGAUGAAAGACUGCAUAUGAACAUUUGUUGUGGAGUAGUAGUAGCUGCUAAUUCACAUUCCUAAAAGUAAUUUGGUAAAUUUGCCCAAAAACCUAAGUUAGAGUCAAGUUCUACAGAAAUGUAAAUUAAUUCCCAUUAGACUGAAAGAGAUUUUCUAGUCUGACUCUCUUCCAAUAAGUUCUGGACCAUGGUGUGAGGGCUUGGCCUUCAGUUGCUUCUGCUCAUUGUGUAGGUGCAGCAGUAGCUGUUAUCCCAUCUCCUCCCACUAAGACUGUUCUGAGUUCCUAGGUUUCCACCACUCCAGACUCCUUCCCUUGAUGAGUUGCACCUACCACCCUUCCUAUUUAUAACAAGCAGUAAGGAACUCUGGAUGCUGGACCAAUGUCACUCUUUCUUUCUCCUGGACUAUAUAAUGUAUACUGUCAAAGAAGGAAGAGUACAUGGACAGAAGAACAAAAAAUGGGCAGAAGACUUCAGAAAAGAAAAAUAUUCCCCUCACCCCCCCCUCCAAUAUUUACACGAUUCCACUUCUACAGCUUCAUUCAACUUGAUGUCCUUCUUUUGGAAGAUGCUCUCCUAGAUUCCUAACCCUGUACUUUCAUAAGCCUGUAGGUGGACCAUGGUAAGGUUAAAAACAUGAGCUGACCAACAUUUAAGAUUA